rnacentral:rRNA from 1 species
UUUCUUACAGCUCUGAG